GACGAACGCUGGCGGCGUGCUUAACACAUGCAAGUCGAACGGAAAGGCCCUGCUUUUGUGGGGUGCUCGAGUGGCGAACGGGUGAGUAACACGUGUGUAACCUGCCCUUGACUUUGGGAUAACUUCAGGAAACUGGGGCUAAUACCGGAUAGGAGCUCCUGCUGCAUGGUGGGGGUUGGAAAGUUUCGGCGGGUGGGGAUGGACUCGCGGCUUAUCAGCUUGUUGGUGGGGUAGUGGCUUACCAAGGCUUUGACGGGUAGCCGGCCUGAGAGGGUGACCGGCCACAUUGGGACUGAGAUACGGCCCAGACUCCUACGGGAGGCAGCAGUGGGGAAUAUUGCACAAUGGGCGGAAGCCGGAUGCAGCAACGCCGCGGGCGGGAUGACGGCCUGCGGGUUGUAAACCGCUUUCGCCUGUGACGAAGCGUGAGUGACGGUAAUGGGUAAAGAAGCACCGGCUAACUACGUG
rnacentral:rRNA from 1 species